rnacentral:rRNA from 1 species
AACGAACGCUGGCGGCAGGCCUAAUACAUGCAAGUCGAGCGCGCCCUUCGGGGUGAGCGGCGGACGGGUGAGUAACGCGUGGGAAUAUGCCCUUCACUAAGGAAUAGCCUCUGGAAACGGAGAGUAAUACCCUAUACGCCCUUUGGGGGAAAGAUUUAUCGGAGAAGGAUUAGCCCGCGUUAGAUUAGGUAGUUGGUGGGGUAAUGGCCUACCAAGCCUACGAUCUAUAGCUGGUUUGAGAGGAUGAUCAGCCACACUGGGACUGAGACACGGCCCAGACUCCUACGGGAGGCAGCAGUAGGGAAUCUUAGACAAUGGGGGCAACCCUGAUCUAGCCAUGCCGCGUGUGUGAUGAAGGCCCUAGGGUCGUAAAGCACUUUCGCCAGAGAUGAUAAUGACAGUAUCUGGUAAAGAAACCCCGGCUAACUCCGUGCCAGCAGCCGCGGUAAUACGGAGGGGGUUAGCGUUGUUCGGAAUUACUGGGCGUAAAGCGCACGUAGGCGGAUUAGUAAGUUAGAGGUGAAAUCCCAGGGCUCAACCCUGGAACUGCCUUUAAUACUGCUAGUCUUGAGUUCGAGAGAGGUAAGUGGAAUUCCGAGUGUAGAGGUGAAAUUCGUA